rnacentral:rRNA from 1 species
GAUUGAACGCUGGCGGCAUGCCUUACACAUGCAAGUCGAACGGUAACAGGUCUUCGGAUGCUGACGAGUGGCGAACGGGUGAGUAAUACAUCGGAACGUGCCCAGACGUGGGGGAUAACGAGGCGAAAGCUUUGCUAAUACCGCAUACGAUCUAAGGAUGAAAGCAGGGGACCGCAAGGCCUUGCGCGUUUGGUGCGGCCGAUGGCAGAUUAGGUAGUUGGUGGGAUAAAAGCUUACCAAGCCGACGAUCUGUAGCUGGUCUGAGAGGACGACCAGCCACACUGGGACUGAGACACGGCCCAGACUCCUACGGGAGGCAGCAGUGGGGAAUUUUGGACAAUGGGCGAAAGCCUGAUCCAGCAAUGCCGCGUGCAGGAUGAAGGCCUUCGGGUUGUAAACUGCUUUUGUACGGAACGAAAAGGCUCUGGCUAAUACCUGGGGCACAUGACGGUACCGUAAGAAUAAGCACCGGCUAACUACGUG